GGGGCUUAACACAUGCAAGUCGAACGAUGAAGCCCUUCGGGGUGGAUUAGUGGCGAACGGGUGAGUAACACGUGGGCAAUCUGCCCUUCACUCUGGGACAAGCCCUGGAAACGGGGUCUAAUACCGGAUAACACUCUGUCCCGCAUGGGACGGGGUUGAAAGCUCCGGCGGUGAAGGAUGAGCCCGCGGCCUAUCAGCUUGUUGGUGGGGUAAUGGCCUACCAAGGCGACGACGGGUAGCCGGCCUGAGAGGGCGACCGGCCACACUGGGACUGAGACACGGCCCAGACUCCUACGGGAGGCAGCAGUGGGGAAUAUUGCACAAUGGGCGAAAGCCUGAUGCAGCGACGCCGCGUGAGGGAUGACGGCCUUCGGGUUGUAAACCUCUUUCAGCAGGGAAGAAGCGAAAGUGACGGUACCUGCAGAAGAAGCGCCGGCUAACUACGUGCCAGCAGCCGCGGUAAUACGUAGGGCGCAAGCGUUGUCCGGAAUUAUUGGGCGUAAAGAGCUCGUAGGCGGCUUGUCACGUCGGAUGUGAAAGCCCGGGGCUUAACCCCGGGUCUGCAUUCGAUACGGGCUAGCUAGAGUGUGGUAGGGGAGAUCGGAAUUCCUGGUGUAGCGGUGAAAUGCGCAGAUAUCAGGAGGAACACCGGUGGCGAAGGCGGAUCUCUGGGCCAUUACUGACGCUGAGGAGCGAAAGCGUGGGGAGCGAACAGGAUUAGAUACCCUGGUAGUCCACGCCGUAAACGUUGGGAACUAGGUGUUGGCGACAUUCCACGUCGUCGGUGCCGCAGCUAACGC
rnacentral:rRNA from 1 species